CCUACGGGUGGCUGCAGUGAGGAAUAUUGGUCAAUGGGCGCAAGCCUGAACCAGCCAAGUCGCGUGAGGGAAGACGGCCCUACGGGUUGUAAACCUCUUUUGCCGGGGAGCAAGCCUGAGCACGUGUGCCCAGGCGGAGAGUACCCGGAGAAAAAGCAUCGGCUAACUCCGUGCCAGCAGCCGCGGUAAUACGGAGGAUGCGAGCGUUAUCCGGAUUUAUUGGGUUUAAAGGGUGCGCAGGCGGGCUGUUAAGCCGGCGGUAAAAAUUCAGGGCUCAACCCUGUCGAGCCGUCGAAACUGGCAGUCUUGAGUGGGCGAGAAGUAUGCGGAAUGCGUGGUGUAGCGGUGAAAUGCAUAGAUAUCACGCAGAACCCCGAUUGCGAAGGCAGCCUGCCAGGCCAUGACUGACGCUGAUGCACGAAAGCGUGGGGAUCAAACAGGAUUAGAUACCCCAGUAGUC
rnacentral:rRNA from 1 species